CGAUAUAGCUGCGGACAGGAUCUUGAUGCGACAUUAUCUACCGAGUAUAGCUCUCCCGGUACAUCAUGUCGCAUUUAAGAUCAUGUUCGCAGUUUUG